rnacentral:rRNA from 1 species
UACGGAGGGGGCAAGCGUUGUUCGGAAUUACUGGGCGUAAAGGGUGCGUAGGCGGCUUUCUAAGUUGGAUGUGAAAACUAUGGGCUCAACCCAUAGCCUGCAUCCAAAACUGGAGAGCUUGGGUUCUGGAGGGGAAAGCGGAAUUCCUGGUGUAGCGGUGAAAUGCGUAGAUAUCAGGAGGAACACCGGUGGCGAAGGCGGCUUUCUGGACAGACACCGACGCUGAGGCACGAAAGCUAGGGGAGCAAACAGG